rnacentral:rRNA from 1 species
ACGGCUGCUCAGUAACACGUAGUCAACUUACCCUAUGGACGAGGAUAAUCUCGGGAAACUGAGCAUAAUACUCGAUAGAUCAUAAUGCCUGGAAUGGUUUAUGGUUGAAAUGAUUCGUCGCCAUAGGAUGGGACUGCGGCCUAUCAGCUUGUUGGUGAGGUAAUGGCCCACCAAGGCGAUUACAGGUACGGGCUCUGAGAGGAGAAGCCCGGAGAUGGGUACUGAGACAAGGACCCAGGCCCUAUGGGGCGCAGCAGGCGAGAAAACUUUGCAAUGUGCGAAAGCACGACAAGGUUAAUCCGAGUGAUUUCUGCUAAAGAAAUCUUUUGCAAGUCAUAAAACCACUAGUGAAUAAGGGGUGGGCAAGUUCUGGUGUCAGCCGCCGCGGUAAAACCAGCACCUCAAGUGGUCAGGAGGAUUAUUGGGCCUAAAGCAUCCGUAGCCGGCUCUGUAAAUUUUCGGUUAAAUCCAUGUGCUCAACGCAUGGGCUGCCGAAAAUACUGCAUAGCUAGGGAGUGGGAGAGGUAGACGGUACUCGGUAGGAAGGGGUAAAAUCCUUUGAUCUAUCGAUGACCACCUGUGGCGAAGGCGGUCUACCAGGACACGUUCGACGGUGAGGGAUGAAAGCUGGGGGAGCAAACCGGAUUAGAUACCCGGGUAGUCCCAGCUGUAAACGAUGCAGACUCGAUGAUGCAUUGGCAUAUAGCCAGUGCAGUGUCGCAGGGAAGCCGUUAAGUCUGCCGCCUGGGAAGUACGUACGCAAGUAUGAAACUUAAAGGAAUUGGCGGGGGAGCAG